CCUACGGGCGACAGCAGUGGGGAAUAUUGCUCAAUGGGGGAAACCCUGAAGCAGCGACGCCGCGUGAAGGAAGAAGGCAUUCGGUAUGUAAAGCUCUUUUUAUAGAGAAGUAAAUGAAGGUACGUAAGGAAUAAGCACCGGCUAACUCCGUGCCAGCAGCCGCGGUAAUACGUAGGGGGCAACCGUUAUCCGGAUUGACUGGGUGUAAAGGGAGCGUAGACGGGAUAGAAAGUCCGUUGUGAAAGGCGGGGGCUCAACCCCAGAACUGCUCUGGAAACUGUAAAGCUGGAGUAUAGGAGAGGUAGGUGGAAUUCUUGGUGUAGCGGUGAAAUGCUUAGAUAUUAGGAGGAACACCGAUGGCGAAGGCGGCUUACUAGACUGUAACUGACGUUGAUGCUCGAAAGCGUGGGGAGCAAACAGGAUUAGAUACCCCAGUAGUC
rnacentral:rRNA from 1 species